UGUGUGGAGAAGAGGAUAGGGGAAAGACGACUGCGUGCGAGCCCUUGUGUUACAUGGCGUCCGCGUGGGUGAACGCCCGGCCGAAUCGUUGAUUCGGCCGGCGCGCCGUUAUGAAACGUUUCCCUAAUUAUUUCUCUGAUCUGCAUAGAGUGGACGGACGGCAGACAAGUUAAAACAGACCAAAGCAGCAGGAUUCCCGCAUAGUUAAGUCCUUGUUAGCUGUGCUAAUCUCCUCUACAUAUUUGGACGCCGGAUCCAGAUCUCACCACCCUCGUCUCUCACUCUCAGACUACCAUGCUCACAAGUCCUUUCGAGAUCUGAAGCUCAUAGAACUAGGAGAAAUGAGCUGGAGAGCAUGCUACUGGAACUUUGAAGUGAUAGUUGACCUAGGUUUAAUCUUUUCUUCGAAGCAUCUUGAGAGGCUAAAGUCUGUAAUUUUUGGCACCGUGUUGUUAUCGAGCAAUACAUUUUCAGGUUUGAGAUCUAAGUGAAAAAUUCGGCUCUCGUGAAGAUAAUGUAAACCCCCGCAAAUUCCUUUGAUUAUUUGAUAGCGCUCUCUACAUUCAGGAUGAUUGUGCAUAUGAUAUUCACAUUGAAGUUCUCGAACGCGCAUAUGAAUGAGAAGAAGUGAGAAUAUUCUCGAACACACAUAUGAAUGGGAAGAAGUGAGGUUGAACGGAUAAAGACAUAGCACAAAUAUAUUGUUUGAAUGCUGAGAUAUUGUGUUCACACAUAAUGAAAUAUGGAAAGAUACAUCCAAAAAAUCUGUGAAGACAGAUGAAUAAGCACCACUGCUCUGCUUGUGAGUAUCUACCUAUAUGAGGUCUUCAUGUCAAUAUGAUAGGUAAGAUCAUGUGGGACGCAACAUUGCAUUCCAUCUUUUAUUGUUCAAGAAAAAUAUAUCUAUUUCAAGCACCUCACACAUACAAUUUGAAAUUACUCACUACAUUAUUGUCUAUUAUGUAGUGUUUAUGAAGAUUAAAAGCUUCAAUUAUCCUAAAUAUGGAACUUCCUUUUUCUUUUUGUAGACGCAUUAAUCUGCAUGAAGAAAGCGCUAACAAAUAAUCAAGGAAUUUGCAAGGAUUUACCUUAUCUUCACACGAAUUGUAUUAUUCACUUAGAUCUCAAACAUGAAAAUAUAUUGUUGGAUGACAAUAUGAUGCCAAAAAUUCUGAACUUUUGUCUCUCAAAGUUGCUUCAAGGAAAAGCAAAACCAAGCUAUUGCUCGAAAACAGGGAGGCAGAAUUGGAACUGUUAAAAGUAUGCAUAGAAAGAAUGAUAAAAGUAUGAUUCAUUAGUUCUGCCGGUAAGUUUGUUCAUGGCACAUGACAUGCUCCACUAGUCUUAUUUAAUAGAGUUUGUGUACAUGUCCAUUUUCACCUUUGUUGCUCCGAGUUAGGGGAUGAGAUCAACCAUCGUUGGUUGUUCAUCAAGCACAGAAGGGUUCCAAUGUGCUGCAGCAAGGCACACCUAAAGGUAUAACUUCUAAGAACUAGCAUGCCAAGCGAAAGAAAGAGGGAAGGUCUGAUACAAAGGAAAGGGUUGCAAGACCUGUAUAUUUUUCUAUACUUAUAGAGGUGACACAUGUUCCCUAAGGUAGGGUACGCGUCGUUGGUUAGCACAACACCACUAUCUGGAUCUUCUAUAGGACGUCGACAAUAUAUUUUGUUCAUACAAGAAUCAACUUGUUCCUAAAAAAACAAAGAAUCAGAUUUCCAGGAAAAACUGAAACUGCUAAAUUUUUCUACUCUGCAUCUUUGGGGAUAUAACGUGUUUGUUCAGUGACCAGUUUUGUAGGUUUUGAAGUUGGUUAAUUAGAGUUGGAAACACUAUUCCAUAUACUUUCUGUUGAUGCCUUUUCUUGCUUCCAAAUGAAGUUUGUCUUAUGUAUAAUAAAUUCCGGUUUAUACCCCUUCCUGUGACAUUUUUGACAGGAAUUACUCUAUUUAAGAGAUUUUCAUCCGUUUUAACCCAUUUAAAGGAAAUUGUGCCACAUUUUACUUCUAAUUUUUAGCACGUUCUGCUUCUCGGCUGUCGGUGUACACACGACACACCACCUGGGCUGUUUUCCUUGGCAGGCGGCAGCUGGUUUCCUCCACGUGGCCCUCCCACCUGCCUGGUUUAUCCCAACUUGUGCCACUGCCCAGCAUCUUUUUUUUUUGGCUUAGGCCUUCACUUAAAAGAGUUUAUACUACCAGUACCAGCACCAACAAUCGAUGUGUCUUUGGCUAAAUUUUUGUUGAGCACAUGUGUUCAUCUACUUCGAUGUGAUUGAUUUUUUUCGAGAAGGAGGUUUUACCCACGGGUUCUGCAUCAGGUGAUGCACACGUCCAUUUUAUUAAACAAAGUAGCAACGAAGUACAUAGUUCAACACAAGUAUCUAUGUGUACAAGUAUUGCUACGAAAAACUUAAUCUCUUCAAUUCAUCAGCCCUAUGAAAACAAAGUAUAUAUGUGUACAAUAUUGCUUUUGUACUUGGGAGCUCAUGGCAUAUAAGGCUGUUAGUCUAGUUUUGCGUGAACAGUUACAGGGAACUACCUAAAGGGUUCUAAUUGAUAUCACUUAUGUUACUAAUGCUAUUAACCUUGAUGCAGAAAUGUUGGGAAACUGUUAGUUCGGUCUGAUUGCCUAUCGACUUCUUAAAUAUAAUUUGGACACGCGCUCAGGGAACCUCAGGGGUGACGAGCCAGAAAGAAAGGGCGACCAAGGCACUAAAGAUUGGCCCCUCUCCUCAUACUCCUUGACAGUUAUUCUCACUAGGAUCAGUGUCACUAAUGUUAAAGGAAGUAACAUCUCCUCGACAACCCAGAAGUUUCCUGGUCCCAUUCUUGACUUCCGAGCGCGAUUCCGACGACGACGUCUCCAUCACUGACUCAACAAGUCGGGUGUAAAUUGGCUGCUACUCCCUCCAGCGCCGUCGCUCCACCCCUCUCCCGCGACCCUCACCUUGCCGCUCCACCCCUCUCUCGCGACCCUCACCUUCUCUGCCAAGGGAAGGGAAGGACCCGUCUGAAACCUAGCCGCCUCCUGGGUCGCCUCCGCCCGGGCGACUCCGGAGGAUCCUCCCGCGUUCCCUCCACCCCGCUUCAUUGGCGUGCCCCUGGCCAGCGCCGGCGGCAUGGGCGGUUGUGGAGUCCACCCCACUUCAUUGGCAUGCCCCUGGCCAGCGCCGACGGCAUGGGCGGUUGUGGAGUGGUGGCAGGGAAUAAAGGGCGGUGCAACCCGCAGCCGUGGCCUGAAACUGGAGCGGCGUCUUCGCGGCGGGUGGUGCACAGCAUCGGCACCAAUCUCCGGUGGCGUGGUGGGUCGCCCCCUGCCAUGGACUGUUUGUGGUCAUGCGCUGCUGUUGCCUUCUCCGAUGUUGCUCCGACCGGCGGUGUGGGGGCCUACUAGUGUGCUCGAAUAAAGGCGGCGGUCCUAGGGUUCCUCUUGCGCCAAGACGAAGAUUUGCAUGACGCCUGUCCUUACUGAUCUGGCUGGGGUGCGGGUUCCGGAAGGCUCCGCCAGCGUACUCCCAUGGGUGUGUUAUGCCUGAAGAUUGCUGGAUCGGGUGGGAUUCGGCCGUGCCCAUGGUUCUCCAUUAAGGAGCGAGCGGCGUGAAGCUCUGCUAUCUGUUGCCACCAGGAGAUAUGUUUAGCUCCAUGGUGAGGCCGAAGGCGGAGAAUGUCAUGGAAGCCGAGAUUGAAGGACUAGUAAUGGUGAUUGGAGCCUACGGUGUUGAGGAACUUGCUUGGAGUUUCAGGAUUCGUAGCAGCGGUAUGUAAGUGGGGGCGACAACACAGGUGAAGUUCAAAGUCUUGCCUUUCAAGGUCAAAAUCCAAGGUCUAUUCUUAAUUGGUUGUGCCUGGCAAUGGCCUUGUUGAAGGCAUUUUUUUGAGAGCGGAAUUAUCUCCGGGGCGAAAACCCAAGAUCUACGAUCGGGCGAUGACGGCGUUGGUGCAUUGUUUUCUCUUUGGAGGCGUCGCUUUUGGAGAAUCCGGACAUCAGGUGUUAUCUUGGUGGUGGUUGUGCUGCUGCUGCAAGGCCUGGAACACUGUAGCUGGAUUUUUUUUUAAGUUUCUUCUUCUUUUUUGUUGUGUGCAUCCGUUAUCUUAUUAGGGCAUUGUGUGUUCUAGAGACUGAGUGUAAUUGGUAUCUUCGCGGUAUUAAUAUAUACUCUUUAUUGAAAAAGACAAUGCUAGAGUUUUUCGUGGCUGAAGCUCUGGCGCCUGGCGGUGAUUUGGUUUUUGACCCUGGGCAACCUCAAGAAUGACAUGCAAGCCGGCACAUCCAUGUUGGUGCCUGCUCCUGGGCACAUCCAUGUUGGUGCAGCUGGUCUCCGCUCGGCUAGGGGUGGUGCCUCGCCGAACUUUGCGGAGGAUUUUGUGCCUACUCCUGUGCUGCCAUGCACGUUCCAAUUGCAGUCAACCUGAAGUAUAUGCAUAAGUUUCUCUUUGUUAGUUUGUUAGAUUAGAUUAAUAUAUGCUGUAGUUCCAGAUAAACAAUUGUGCAAACACUUUUUCUCAUUCUCAUUAUUUUGUCACAUUCUUUCAAUGCAACAUCGGUGCGUUUAGUAAGAGGUACGCAAUUAGCCAAUUUAAAUAAAGGGACAAAAUUGCUGGCUGAUUCAGUUUUCAUGAUUGGAACACAUGAUUAGAACACCUAUUCGGAAACCUGGAUAUGCGGUCACGAGUCUAAAAGCUGCCUAGAUGGAAAAGUAACCGUACUAAGCGUGUUGAUGGGACGUUCAUUGCUCUACCAGGACAGGCAUCAACCAAACACUUCAUUGCACGCUAGCCUGGUCAGGCAGAGAAACUCCACCAUCGGGCGUCCGCACCAGGCACGAUUGUGCCUCCAGGCAGGAGGGUCAGGACAUGAUCCAAACUAACCCUUUCCAAGGGCAACAACCGAACAACUGUCUGUGAGACUCAGGGACAAAUCCGGGCUAGGAAAAAUAUGAUGAGGCCCAAACUCCACCAUUUGCCGUCCAUACCAGGCAUGGCUGUGCCUCCAGGCAGGAGGGCCAUGACAUGAUCCAAACUGACCGUUUCUCGGCCUGACCCUGCUAUCGUUGCAAUGAAGCGCUUGGUUGAUGCUCUGUCUCUCGAUGCUCUGCCUGCCUCCUCCACUCGGGGGAUUUGAUUAUUUGCCAUCAUUUUCUUUGGACUUUGACAAUUUGCCACUAGUUAGAUUGUAAUUGAUCUGAUGACACUCUUUUCUUUGCACUUUGAUCUUUUAUCAUUUUUACUCAAAAAAACAAUACUAGCAAAUGAUUGACAUAAUAUAUACACAAAACAUUGGACAGGU